GUUCCCGAAAGGAUGGCGGAAACGCCAGAUGCCUUGUAACCGAAAGGGGGAAU
rnacentral:misc_RNA from 1 species